rnacentral:lncRNA from 1 species
ACAUUUGAUAGCAUAACAUAACCUGAGCAACUUUCUUCUCUCCCUGUGUCUAUUAGUGGAUGCCAGCAAGCGAGAUCUGUCAAUGGAAACACACGUAAGAUAGCAAGAGUAAAGAAAGAGUGCAACAAGAGGAGAAAAUCAAUAAAAAAGAUGAAUGACUCUCAGAAUGUAUGGAGGCAGAAUGGUCUGAACAACGUGAAUGAAGUUGUGUCUGACUCGUCUGAUCAAACUCCAGAUGCACAGCCAUCUCCACUCCCAACACUCAGGUGUGUUCCUGUAGUGAAAUUACAUUGUGACAACAUUAUGUGACAUUCA